UACGUAGGGGGCAAGCGUUGUCCGGAAUCAUUGGGCGUAAAGCGCGUGUAGGCGGCCAUGUAGGUCUGACGUGAAAUUCCGAGGCUCAACCUCGAGACGCCGGUGGAAACCAUCAGACUAGAGUCCGGAAGAGGAGAGUGGAAUUCCUGGUGUAGCGGUGAAAUGCGCAGAUAUCAGGAAGAACACCCGUGGCUAAGGCGGCUCUCUAGUACGGUACUGACGCUGAGACGCGAAAGCGUGGGGAGCGAACAGG
rnacentral:rRNA from 1 species